GUUCCAACACCCCGGAGGUGAGAAUGGUGUGGGGAGGACACAGAGCACACACUUGAACUUGAACCUGAACCUGAGCCCAGCAAAGAAAAUGUGUCAGGUCUCAAUUCAGACUGCCACUUCUGAAGUGCUCGAUAGUCACAUGGAGCUUCAUAAGACCAGGAGCCUUUGCUAACCAUUCCAGUUUAGAUGGAGAUGACAGCACUUGGUGAUGGGAAGCUCUCCUUCCAUGUUUGUUGGAUAGUGAGUGAACAGUAGAGAUGUGUCUUACAAGAAGUUGCUGUGGCCAAGGGUGACUACUGUAUCUUUAUAACAAGUCUUAAAAUCAGGCAUGUCGGUCAUCUGACUAUUCUUUUUCAGAAUUUGUUGGCUGUUUUAGGUUUGUGGUAUUUCAUAUAAAAAUUAGAAGUAGCUUGUCAAUUUCUGUAAAAUAACCUGCUGAGAUUUUGUUUGGAUUUGUGCUGAGUCUAUAAAUUAAUUUGAAGAGAACUGAAAUUGUCAUCAGCAUACUGUAGUUUUAGGUUUAUUUAUGUCUACUUUCUUCUCAGCAGUAUUUUAGUUUUUAGUGUGUGGGUUUUCCAUGUGUUUUUUUAAAUUUAUUUCUAGUUAUUUUGUGAUUUGAAAUGCUAUCAAGAAUAAUAUUUUUAUUUCAGUUUCCAAUUCUUUAUUGUUAUCAUAUAGAAAAACUAAUUUUGUAUAUUAACCUUGCUGAACUUCCUUAUUAGUCCUAGGAAAAGCAAUUUUUGGCCAAUCCCUUUGUAUUUCUAUGUACACUAUGCUGUUUUCUGUAAAUAAAGACAACCUAAUGUCUUCCUUUCUAAUUUAUAUGCAUUUUAUUUCUUUUUCUUCCAUUAUUGCACUGGCUACAAAUGUUAUUAGAAGUAAUGAGAGUGGGUAUCUUUGCCUUAUUCCUUAUGAUAGGGUAAAAAUAUUCAAUCUUAUAUGAUUAUGUGUAAUCUUUCCUAUAGAUGCCCUUUAUUGAGUUGAGAAUAUUCCCUUCUAUGGCUAGUUUUCUGAGAGUUUUUAUCCUGGAUGGGUAUUGAAUUUUCACAAAUACUUUUGUGCAUUUAACAAGACGAUCAUAUUUAAAUUUUCAAUUAAUAUAGUGAUUUUCCCUCUUUGGUUUUAAUG